rnacentral:rRNA from 1 species
AAUUGACGGGACCGCACAAGCGGUGGAUGAUGUGGAUUAAUUCGAUGCAACGCGAAAACCUUACCUACCCUUGACAUGUCCGGAAUCCCGAAGAGAUUUGGGAGUGCUCGCAAGAGAGCCGGAACACAGGUGCUGCAUGGCUGUCGUCAGCUCGUGUCGUGAGAUGUUGGGUUAAGUCCCGCAACGAGCGCAACCCUUGUCAUUAGUUGCCAUCAUUUGGUUGGGCACUCUAAUGAGACUGCCGGUGACAAACCGGAGGAAGGUGGGGAUGACGUCAAGUCCUCAUGGCCCUUAUGGGUAGGGCUUCACACGUCAUACAAUGGUCGGUACAGAGGGUUGCCAACCCGCGAGGGGGAGCUAAUCCCACAAAGCCGAUCGUAGUCCGGAUCGCAGUCUGCAACUCGACUGCGUGAAGUCGGAAUCGCUAGUAAUCGUGGAUCAGCAUGUCACGGUGAAUACGUUCCCGGGUCUU